rnacentral:rRNA from 1 species
UACAGAGGGGGCAAGCGUUAUUCGGAAUUAUUGGGCGUAAAGGGCGCGUAGGCGGCCAUUCAAGUGACGGGUGAAAGCCCUCGGCUUAACCGAGGAACUGCCUGUCAGACUGGAAGGCUUGAGACCGGGAGAGGUGAGUGGAAUUCCCGGUGUAGCGGUGAAAUGCGUAGAUAUUGGGAGGAACACCAGUGGCGAAGGCGGCUCACUGGACCGGAACUGACGCUGAGGCGCGAAAGCCAGGGGAGCAAAGCGGG